GGAUACGGCCAUACUGCGCAGAAAGCACCGCUUCCCAUCCGAACAGCGAAGUUAAGCUGCGC
rnacentral:rRNA from 1 species